UUUCCUACGGGACGCAGCAGUGAGGAAUAUUGGUCAAUGGACGAGAGUCUGAACCAGCCAAGUAGCGUGAAGGAUGACUGCCCUAUGGGUUGUAAACUUCUUUUAUAUGGGAAUAAAACAGGGUAUGCAUACCCUCUUGUAUGUACCAUAUGAAUAAGGAUCGGCUAACUCCGUGCCAGCAGCCGCGGUAAUACGGAGGAUCCGAGCGUUAUCCGGAUUUAUUGGGUUUAGAGGGAGCGUAGAUGGGUUGUUAAGUCAGUUGUGAAAGUUUGCGGCUCAACCGUAAAAUUGCAAUUGAUACUGGA
rnacentral:rRNA from 1 species